rnacentral:rRNA from 1 species
AAUGGCUCAUUAAAUCAGUUAUCGUUUAUUUGAUAGUACCUUACUACUUGGAUAACCGUGGUAAUUCUAGAGCUAAUACAUGCUGAAAACCCCGACUUCGGAAGGGGUGUAUUUAUUAGAUAAAAAGCCAAUGCCCUCCGGGGCUCCUUGGUGAUUCACAAUAACUUCUCAGAUCGCAUGGCCUUGCGCCGGCGACGGUUCAUUCAAAUUUCUGCCCUAUCAACUUUCGAUGGUAAGGUAUUGGCUUACCAUGGUUUCAACGGGUAACGGGGAAUUAGGGUUCGAUUCCGGAGAGGGAGCCGGAGGAACGGCUACCACAUCCAAGGAAGGCAGCAGGCGCGCAAAUUACCCAAUCCCGACACGGGGAGGUAGUGACAAUAAAUACUGAUACAGGGCUCUUUUGGGUCUUGUAAUUGGAAUGAGUACAAUUUAAACCUCUUAACGAGGAACAAUUGGAGGGCAAGUCUGGUGCCAGCAGCCGCGGUAAUUCCAGCUCCAAUAGCGUAUAUUAAAGUUGUUGCAGUUAAAAAGCUCGUAGUUGAACCUUUGGCCUGGCUGGCGGGUCCGCCUCACCGCGUGCACUUGUCCGGCCGGGCCUUCUCUUCUGGAGAACCGCAUGCCCUUCACUGGGUGUGUUGGGGACCAGGACUUUUACUUUGAAAAAAUUAGAGUGUUCAAAGCAGGCCUUUGCUCGAAUACGUUAGCAUGGAAUAAUGGAAUAGGACGUGCGGUCCUAUUUUGUUGGUUUCUAGGACCGCCGUAAUGAUUAAUAGGGACAGUCGGGGGCAUCAGUAUUCAAUUGUCAGAGGUGAAAUUCUUGGAUUUAUUGAAGACUAACUACUGCGAAAGCAUUUGCCAAGGAUGUUUUCAUUAAUCAGUGAACGAAAGUUAGGGGAUCGAAGACGAUCAGAUACCGUCGUAGUCUUAACCAUAAACUAUGCCGACUAGGGAUCGGGCGGUGUUAUUAUUUUGACUCGCUCGGCACCU